rnacentral:rRNA from 1 species
GAGUUUGAUCCUGGCUCAGGAUGAACGCUAGCGGGAGGCUUAACACAUGCAAGUCGAGGGGCAUCACGAGGUAGCAAUACUUUGGUGGCGACCGGCGCACGGGUGAGUAACGCGUAUGCAACCUACCCUGUACAGUGGGAUAACCCGGAGAAAUUCGGACUAAUACCGCAUAAAGAUAUUUUGAGGCAUCUUAAGAUAUUUAAAGCUUAGGUGGUACGGGAUGGGCAUGCGUAACAUUAGCUGGUUGGUAGGGUAACGGCCUACCAAGGCGAUGAUGUUUAGGGGACCUGAGAGGGUGAUCCCCCACACUGGUACUGAGACACGGACCAGACUCCUACGGGAGGCAGCAGUGAGGAAUAUUGGUCAAUGGGCGGAAGCCUGAACCAGCCAUCCCGCGUGCAGGAAGACAGCCCUAUGGGUUGUAAACUGCUUUUCCAGUGGGCGAAACACUCGUACGUGUACGAGAUUGACGGUACACUGGGAAUAAGCAUCGGCUAACUCCGUGCCAGCAGCCGCGGUAAUACGGAGGAUGCAAGCGUUAUCCGGGAUUUAUUGGGUUUAAAGGGUGCGUAGCGGAUGAAUAAGUCAAUGGUGAAAAGCUGCAGCUUAACUGUAGAC